AUGCAAUAGAGACACAAAAUAAGUUGCAAAACUAACAUUGCCUAACAAAAACCUUCCCUUCCAUUUGGUUGUUGAUAAUACACAGUAAAUCAAAACGCCAAAUCUAGUAGACCAGAUUAAGUUAGAGUGAACAUGCUUUAAAACUUUUCACAUACAUUCUGAUCGAGGACAUGUAAUGCUUGUGAUCGUUUCCACAGAAAUAGAAGCAAACCCAUAAAAGAUCAAAAUUCACAAUGAAUGCAGA
rnacentral:misc_RNA from 1 species